GGGACUAUGAUGACAAACCAUUGUCAUGAACUCAGUUGAUGAUAUAAAAACCAUGCUCAAUAGGAUUACACUGAGGCAC
ensembl:snoRNA SNORD115 Small nucleolar RNA SNORD115